AGGCACCGGCGAGAUUCGAACUGGCGAUCACCUGUUUAAUUGACAGGCAAUUUAACCAACUUAGCCACGGCGCC